UACGAACUGUGCAAACGUUAUUCGGAAUCACUGGGCUUAAAGGGUGCGUAGGCGGUUGUUUAAGUCUGACGUGAAAUCUCCGGGCCUAACCCGGAAACUGCGUUGGAUACUAUUCAACUAGAGGAAUGGAGGGGAGACUGGAAUACUUGGUGUAGCAGUGAAAUGCGUAGAUAUCAAGUGGAACACCAGUGGCGAAGGCGAGUCUCUGGACAUUUCCUGACGCUGAGGCACGAAAGCCAGGGGAGCAAACGGG
rnacentral:rRNA from 1 species